rnacentral:tRNA from 1 species
CAAAGAAUAGUUUAAUAAAAAUAUUAAUUUUGGAGAUUAAAGCUAGGAAUUUUUCUUUUCUUUGA